rnacentral:rRNA from 1 species
CCAACCCAUGUGAACGUUACCAAACUGUUGCCUCGGCGGGAUCUCUGCCCCGGGUGCGUCGCAGCCCCGGACCAAGGCGCCCGCCGGAGGACCAACCAAAACUCUUAUUGUAUACCCCCUCGCGGGUUUUUUUAUAAUCUGAGCCUUCUCGGCGCCUCUCGUAGGCGUUUCGAAAAUGAAUCAAAACUUUCAACAACGGAUCUCUUGGUUCUGGCAUCGAUGAAGAACGCAGCGAAAUGCGAUAAGUAAUGUGAAUUGCAGAAUUCAGUGAAUCAUCGAAUCUUUGAACGCACAUUGCGCCCGCCAGUAUUCUGGCGGGCAUGCCUGUCCGAGCGUCAUUUCAACCCUCGAACCCCUCCGGGGGGUCGGCGUUGGGGAUCGGCCCUGCCUUGGCGGUGGCCGUCUCCGAAAUACAGUGGCGGUCUCGCCGCAGCCUCUCCUGCGCAGUAGUUUGCACACUCGCAUCGGGAGCGCGGCGCGUCCACAGCCGUUAAACACCCAACUUCUGAAAUGUUGACCUCGGAUCAGGUAGGAAUACCCGCUGAACUUAAGCAUAUCA